UACGAAGGGGGCUAGCGUUGUUCGGAAUCCCUGGGCGUAAAGGGCGCGUAGGCGGCUUUAUAAGUCGGGGGUGAAAGCCUGUGGCUCAACCACAGAAUUGCCUUCGAUACUGUAGAGCUUGAGACCGGAAGAGGUAAGUGGAACUGCGAGUGUAGAGGUGAAAUUCGUAGAUAUUCGCAAGAACACCAGUGGCGAAGGCGGCUUACUGGUCCGGUUCUGACGCUGAGGCGCGAAAGCGUGGGGAGCAAACAGG
rnacentral:rRNA from 1 species